UUUUUCUUUUUCUAUUUUGAGUUUAUUUCUAAACUCAAGGCCACAGAUCUCUCUGAGUGAAAGAAGCCACAAACUCCUUUCAUGCCUUGCAGAAUCGUGGACAAUUUGGCUUUGAGAUGGGGUCAUAUAUGAACGAACAUCAGACAGGUGGCAGCUGUCAUGACGUCCUUGCACUCAAGAUUAGCAUGAACCACGAAACUGAAGGGUGUAUCCGAUGGACAGUGGCCAGUGACUUUGCGAUGACUCAAUGCAACAGCUGUUUAAUCGCUUUUGGACCAAACUCAACAACUUUGCUGGAGGAAAAGUUGAAAUGAGGCUUUCUUGGGCGAGUUUUGAGAGAGGAGAGGCAAGAGGAAAGAAAAGCUUAACAGGACCGAGGGGAAAGGGCGUGCGAGCUUUUCAUUCAGCCCAAACAUAAUAAAGAAGCCUCCCGUGCUCUCGGAGACAUGUGGUUGCGUUCUAAGGGACAUCUGCAGAAAGACGGUCUUGGGGGGAACAAGCGCCUUCCCUGAAGCCCAGCAACGUCUCCGGAGCGAGCGGGUUUGCGCGAGCAGAUUCAAUAAGCCCCAACCGCGCUUGGCUGGGGCGCAAACCUAAUCCGGCAGCCCAUAUUGUUGCUCGGGAGGUCUGCAGCCAAACCGACUCCUUGUAAAAAUAAAUACUC